rnacentral:rRNA from 1 species
UACGUAGGGUGCGAGCGUUGUCCGGAAUUAUUGGGCGUAAAGAGCUCGUAGGCGGUUUGUCGCGUCUGCCGUGAAAGUCCGGGGCUCAACUCCGGAUCUGCGGUGGGUACGGGCAGACUAGAGUGAUGUAGGGGAGACUGGAAUUCCUGGUGUAGCGGUGAAAUGCGCAGAUAUCAGGAGGAACACCGGUGGCGAAGGCGGUUCUCUGGGCCUGUACUGACGCUGAGGAGCGAAAGCGUGGGGAGCGAACAGG